rnacentral:rRNA from 1 species
GAUGAACGCUGGCGGCGUGCCUAAUACAUGCAAGUCGAGCGAACAGACGAGGAGCUUGCUCCUUCGACGUUAGCGGCGGACGGGUGAGUAACACGUAGGUAACCUACCUAUAAGACUGGGAUAACUUCGGGAAACCGGAGCUAAUACCGGAUAAUAUUUCGAACCGCAUGGUUCGAUAGUGAAAGAUGGCUUUGCUAUCACUUAUAGCUGGACCUGCGCCGUAUUAGCUAGUUGGUAAGGUAACGGCUUACCAAGGCAACGAUACGUAGCCGACCUGAGAGGGUGAUCGGCCACACUGGAACUGAGACACGGUCCAGACUCCUACGGGAGGCAGCAGUAGGGAAUCUUCCGCAAUGGGCGAAAGCCUGACGGAGCAACGCCGCGUGAGUGAUGAAGGUCUUCGGAUCGUAAAACUCUGUUAUUAGGGAAGAACAAACGUGUAAGUAACUGUGCACGUCUUGACGGUACCUAAUCAGAAAGCCACGGCUAACUACGUG